CUGCCUCUCAGACAAGGAUAACAGUUGGAAACGACUGCUAAGACUGGAUAUGAAGUUUUGAGGCAUCUCGAAACUUUUAAAAGACCCGCAAGGGUAUGCUGAGAGAUGGGCUUGCGGCACAUUAGUUAGUUGGUAAGGUAAUGGCUUACCAAGACUAUGAUGUGUAGCUGGACUGAGAGGUUGAACGGCCACAUUGGGACUGAGAUACGGCCCAAACUCCUACGGGAGGCAGCAGUAAGGAAUUUUCGGCAAUGGAGGAAACUCUGACCGAGCAACGCCGCGUGAACGAUGAAGUAUUUAGGUACGUAAAGUUCUUUUAUUAAAGAAGAAAAAAUGAUGGAAAAAUCAUUCUGACGGUAUUUAAUGAAUAAGCCCCGGCUAACUAUGUGCCAGCAGCUGCGGUAAUACAUGGGGGGCAAGCGUUAUCCGGAUUUAUUGGGCGUAAAGGGUGCGUAGGCGGUUAAAUAAGUCUAUGGUAUAAGUUCAACGCUUAACGUUGUGAUGCUAUAGAAACUGUUUGACUAGAGUUGGAUAGAGGCAAGUGGAAUUCCAUGUGUAGCGGUAAAAUGCGUAAAUAUAUGGAGGAACACCAGUAGCGAAGGCGGCUUGCUGGGUCUUAACUGACGCUGAGGCACGAAAGCGUGGGGAGCAAACAGGAUUAGAUACCCUGGUAGUCCACGCCGUAAACGAUGAGUACUAAGUGUUGGGUUAAACCAGUGCUGAAGUUAACACAUUAAGUACUCCGCCUGAGUAGUACGUACGCAAGUAUGAAACUUAAAGGAAUUGACGGGACUCCGCACAAGCGGUGGAUCAUGUUGUUUAAUUCGAAGAUACACGAAAAACCUUACCAGGUCUUGACAUACUCUGCAAAGCUAUAGAAAUAUAGUGGAGGUUAUCAGGGAUACAGGUGGUGCAUGGUUGUCGUCAGCUCGUGUCGUGAGAUGUUGGGUUAAGUCCCGCAACGAGCGCAACCCUUAUCACUAGUUACCAUCAUUUAGUUGGGCACUUUAGUGAGACUGCCAAUGAUAAAUUGGAGGAAGGUGGGGAUUACGUCAAAUCAUCAUGCCCCUUAUGACCUGGGCUACAAACGUGAUACAAUGGCUGUUACAAAGAGUAGCUGAAACGUGAGUUUUUAGCAAAUCUCAAAAAAACAGUCUCAGUUCGGAUUGAAGUCUGCAACUCGACUUCAUGAAGUCGGAAUCGCUAGUAAUCGCGAAUCAGCAUGUCGUGGUGAAUACGUUCUCGGGGUUUGUACACACCGCCCGUCAAACCACGAAAGUUGACAAUACCCAAAACCAGUAGCCUAACUUGCAAAAGAGGGAACUGUCUAAGGUAGGGUUGAUGAUUGGGGUUAAGUCGUAACAAGGUAUCCCUACCGGAAGGUGGGGAUGGAUCACCUCCUUUCUAAGGAAA
rnacentral:rRNA from 1 species